rnacentral:tRNA from 1 species
GCCGGGAUGGCGAAACUGGCAGACGCAGCGGACUUAAAAUCCGCAGGGCCGAAAGGCCUGUGGGGGUUCGAUUCCCCCUCCCGGCACCA